rnacentral:tRNA from 1 species
AUCUUGUAGUUUAAUUGGAAAAACAUUAACCUUCUAAGUUAUAUAAUGCUGGUUCAAAUCCAGCCAAGGUUA